rnacentral:rRNA from 1 species
UACAGAGGUCUCAAGCGUUGUUCGGAUUCAUUGGGCGUAAAGGGUGCGUAGGCGGCGCCGUAAGUCGGGUGUGAAAUUUCGGAGCUUAACUCCGAAACUGCAUUCGAUACUGCCGUGCUUGAGGACUGGAGAGGAGACUGGAAUUUACGGUGUAGCGGUGAAAUGCGUAGAUAUCGUAAGGAAGACCAGUGGCGAAGGCGGGUCUCUGGACAGUUCCUGACGCUGAGGCACGAAGGCCAGGGGAGCAAACGGG